GAUGAACGCUGGCGGCGUGCCUGACACAUGCAAGUCGAACGAACCGAGGGGCCGUUGAUCGGGUUUCGGAAGGGUUCGUCCCGGAAGAGCCCGUGAGGUUCCUUGGUUAGUGGCGAACGGGUGAGUAACACGUAGGUGACCUGCCCCGAAGAGGGGGAUAACCACUGGAAACGGUGGCUAAUACCCCAUGUGGUCCCGCAUUCGUUUGCGGGAUUAAAGGCUCCGGCGCUUCGGGAGGGGCCUGCGGCCUAUCAGCUAGUUGGUAGGGUAAUGGCCUACCAAGGCUAUGACGGGUAGCUGGUCUGAGAGGACGGACAGCCACACUGGCACUGAGACACAGGCCAGACUCCUACGGGGAGGCAGCAGUGAGGAAUAUUGCGCAAUGGGGGAAACCCUGACGCAGCAACGCCGCGUGGGCGAAGAAGGUCUUCGGAUCGUAAAGCCCUUUUCUCUCGAGACGAGGAAGGACGGUACGGGAGGAAUAAGCGUCGGCUAACUACGUGCCAGCAGCCGCGGUAAAACGUAGGACGCAAGCGUUAUCCGGAUUUAUUGGGCGUAAAGGGCGUCUAGGCGGCGUCUUAAGUUGGGCGUGAAAUCUUCCGGCUCAACCGGAAGGGUGCGUCCAAUACUGGGACGCUUGAGGACAGCAGAGGGAGGUGGAAUUCCCGGAGUAGCGGUGGAAUGCGUAGAUAUCGGGAGGAACACCAGUGGCGAAGGCGGCCUCCUGGGCUGUACCUGACGCUGAAGCGCGAAAGCGUGGGGAGCAAACGGGAUUAGAUACCCCGGUAGUCCACGCCGUAAACGAUGGAUACUAGGUGUCGGUGGUAUUGACCCCAUCGGUGCCGCAGCUAACGCAUUAAGUAUCCCGCCUGGGGACUACGGCCGCAAGGCUAAAACUCAAAGGAAUUGACGGGGGCCC
rnacentral:rRNA from 1 species